rnacentral:piRNA from 1 species
UCACCCAUGUAGUGUGUGCAUUCAGCAGU